rnacentral:tRNA from 1 species
GUGGGGUUGUGGCUCAGUAGUAGAGCGCUUGCCUCGCAUGUGUGAGGCCCUGGGUUCGAUUCUCAGCACCACA